UUGAACGACCCUUAUAAACCAGUUUAUGUGCAACCGGCGAAAAUAGGUGACGUCACUAACACUGUCAUUUAUAUAUAGUGACCUGUAAAUGGACGUGUUUACUUUUUUGAAGCCAUGAAAUAACUCGACAAAAACAAUUAAUCUGAGUUGGUAAGUGGUCAAUUUUCCUCACAGUUAUUUAAUUUUUCAAAUUGUGUGUAUUCGUUAUUGUAAAAAGACAGUUUGUUUCUUACAUCGGCGAAAACUGGUGACACCAGGAUAAUAUCUGUAAAAUAACAAUUUAUGAAACUUAAAAAUGAUUUAUUGUCGCAAUUAAUCUUUAAAACUAAAGAUUUCAGAAACAACCAAAAGCAACUCAUAAAGGUAUUUACUUAUGCAUGUCUACAAUUUACAAAGAAAUGAGUUAUGAUAAUAAUGUUUAUUCGCUCUAAAUAAACUGUCUUAUUCAACGCAAACCUUAUUUUCUUAACGGAUCGCCGAAACCCAAACCCCAAUUUUAUAACUCAUCCUACCCAGUCUACUCUAACACAUAGACUCGUCCACUAAGUACUAAACCACUGCCCGUGCAAAUUGUACGUCUUUUACUAGCUCGUCGCAUCACAGGUAGGUCGCGCUAUGGUUUACAUAGAGGAUAAUUGUUGGAUUCGGUGGAUUAUCGAUUUUAAUUCACGAGUGAUCAUAGAAAAUAAUAUUUUCACAAGUGGCGCAGCCACGAGUGAAAAUAUAUAUUUUAUAUGAUCACGAGUGAAUUAAAAUCGAUAAUCCACCGAACCCAACAAAUUUUCUUUUUAUUUUAUGCUUAAUUUCACAGUUUAUAUACAUUGUUAAAGAGUUUAACUACUGGUCAUGUACGUAAUUCCGGCCUGUACGUAAAAAAUCGGCCACCUGUGUAAAAUCAUUUUCAUGAUCUUUACGCAUAUAUUUUGUUUUUAUUUAGAAAAAUCAACAUGAAAACCAUCCCCACUCGCAAUAUUUUGCAAAUGUAAGAACCAUAUCACCGUAAACUUUUGUGUUAAAAUGUCACAAAUAUAGCAGGAAAUAUUUGGCUCAUGGGGAAAGUGAUGUCAUCAUAUGUUGCAACAAUUAUAAUCAUAUAAGAAACAAAUAUAUUUGAUAAAAUAAUUUUUAUUUUAUCUAAUAAACUUUAAUCAAAGUUUUACCAAUUUAUUGUACAAAAACUUAUAUUCAAAACAUACAAAUCAGAACCUAAAUAUAAAUUUUUAAUAUAUGAAUUACCUCCCUUUAUAAGAAUAUUGCUAGAUUACAUGUUUAAAUAUUAUAUAUAAGCGUUUACUAAUAAUCAACACUGAAGUCAACUUUUCAAACAAAAUGUGUUUACUUUUUUAGCUAUGUUUGAAAAAAUUUAUUAAACACAUUAAAAACAAAUAUUUUUUAAUGAAAUAGCAGUUUCCCCAUUGUUUAUAUUUAUUAAAAUAGGUAGGGGGAGUAAAUGGUAUAAUAAUUUCGCAUUUAUUUUAAAUUUCAAGUCAAAAAUAUUAAUAGUAUAAACAUUGAUUAAUACUCUGAAAUUGAAGACAUUUGUCAAAAGAUAUUGCUUUGUAAUUUUAUCUGCAGAUCAAACUGAAAAGUGGCCGAUUUUUUAGGUACAUUUAACCUACGAAAAUGGAUAGUUUACAUGUCAUCAUUUUCUGUUCAUAAAGUAACAUUCACUGAUCUAAUUCUAUUUAAAUUUUCAUGCUAGGUGAGUUUUGAACCCAGGAUUAUAUAUGUGAAGUUUAGUUUCAACCAGUUGCCUAACACUAAAGAUUUUUCUUAAAUAGUCCCAAAAGUGGCCGGAAUUACGUACAUGACCAGUACAGAAUUUCGUUUGGAACAUGACGUCAUUUUGUCAAAAAAUGACGUCAUUUAACAUAAACAGUGAAAAUUAUCGAUAAUUUUCACUGAUAAUUUUCAUUGUUUAAAACAGUGAAAUUAUCAGUUUUAAUUCACUGAUAUUUCUCUAUAAACCACCGGAAAGCAUAAAAUAAAAGUUUAUAUUGCAUGUGCUGGCUGAUCAUCCGAGUAAGUAACUAAUUUAUGAAUUAUUAAAUUGUUGUACGUGAUUGUGAACUUUUUAUUAAACUCUUUUCAAAUGAGCACCUCUAGCUUGUUUUCGUUGUGAUUCACGGUUUUAUAAUUCCGAGCUAAACCCCGACAUUUUGUGUAUCUGGCAUUUGUCAUAAAAACAUUUUAUCCUGAACAAAGCCUGAAUCUGAGAUAACAGCGACUAUUUUGUGGCAACUAAGCGAACAUGUAUUUUAGUGAAUAAUUUUGUCUUACAUGUUGGUAAAUUGUUAACAUAAGUUUAUGAAUUUAAAUUCAAUAUUUAAUUUAAAAUUAUUGUCUAUAACAUUGUUCGCUUUCCGUUUUUAUUAACAAGACUAUUUUGAUGGUUUUAUAAGAAAGCUGUUCGUGUAUCACUGGUGAUCGGUUUAUCUUGUUAGUAGUUUGUGUAGUUAACUUGUAUUAGCAAAGCUUAAAUUCUACGUUUACUAUAGAUUGCCUUCCAUUGAAAUCGUUGUUUAUAAAAUUGUUCGCUUUCCGUUUUUAUUAACAAGACUAUUUUUAUGGUUUAAUACUGCCACCACGGCCAAAAGACGUCGUGUUAAAGUUGCACAGUCGCUACAAGCAAUGGGCGCAGACCAGAAAAGGACCACCGGCCACGCGCAACCGGAGCUGCCGACGCCGGGAAUAGAGCGCGAGAAUACGUCCGCACCGGGUACGAGCGAAGAAGUUUGUGAGCAAGAUUGCCACCACGGGUCGAAUAAUGUCUUUUGAAGGCAGGGUUGUCGUCUCAAGCAAUCGUCUGAGCGGAUUUUAAGGCAAUGACGACCUACUGGCAGCUUUCGGAAUCUUUCGCAGACACGAACAUUAACGAAGCACUAUGUGACGUAACAUUUGCGGCCGGAAAUGAGCAGAUGCAGAUCAAAUGUCACACAUUCAUUCUCGCCAGCCGUAGUCCAGUGUUCUAUGCAAUGUUCUGUGGUGCAGUUUGGACUUUAUAAUGGACAAGUCCGAGGUGGUUUUGAAAUCAGAUGCCUUUACUUGAAUGCCAAAGUCUGGAUAACAAACAGUUCUUAAACUAGAGACUUUGAGCGCCAGUGAGUGUGAAGUGUACGUUAGAUGUAAACGGUGCGCUGCUCAGAGAUGCUGGGACGCGGGGAACUGGAAACAGAUGAACAUAUAAGACAGGAGUUGGGUGAAGGACUGAUAGGCCUGAUUAGAUUUAUUACCAUAACCUCAAAAGAGUUCACGGAUGCUGUAGCUUAUGAAAACGUUCUCAACAAGGAUGAAAUUAUUCUUGUAUAUAAAAUUAUUUUUAAAAAAAACGCAAUACAUCAAAUUUCAAAUUUGUUUCUAGGGGCGUUUGGUAUGAUAAAUGUUUAUUUAGAAGGUGUAAUAAAAUUGGUCGGUCAUGGGUCUAAGUUUUACUGUGUCUUCGGGAGGUAAAUUAAGUGCGGUAGAUUUGUUUUUACCUAUCAUCGAAGGUUGUUUGACAGGUGUAGUAGAAAUCCUUGAGGAAUCAACAAUCAAACACACUCAAAAUGUUACGCUAAAUUACAAAAAAGAUAAAGAGCCCGAACUUAUACAUUUAGAAACGUGUGUCCAUCUUUCCGCUGGAAAAGUAUAUUCGAUACGACAAAGAUUGAAAGGUUCAAGUGCGUUUACAUGCUACGGAUGUGCAGAAAAGAUUACGGUGAAAGAUGUUACUAUGUCACUCACUAACUUGCAGGUCGGAUUGAUUGAAGACCUAACGAGCGUUAGCACCGGCCAAUUUUACGGAUUUGAACUUUUGAUCAAAACAACGAAGUGAAUGCAUAUAAUUUUGAAUGUUUUUAAUUGAUUGUUAUAACAUAUAAAAAUGAGAGACAUGUAAAUAGACUUGCAAUUUCUUGUUUAUGUUUUGUAUAUACAAAUUAAAAACUCAUGUUAACAACUUAA